GACAGAGGGUGCAAACGUUGUUCGGAAUUACUGGGCGUAAAGCGCGUGUAGGCGGCUAAGUAAGUCGGGCGUGAAAUCCCACGGCUCAACCGUGGAAGUGCACUCGAAACUGCAUAGCUAGAGUCCUGGAGAGGAAGGUGGAAUGCUUGGUGUAGAGGUGAAAUGCGUAGAUAUCGGGAGGAACACCAGUGGCGAAGGCGACUACCUGGCCUGUUCUUGACGCUGAGGCGCGAAAGCUAGGGGAGCAAACGGG
rnacentral:rRNA from 1 species